GGGUUGUGAGGUUAAGCGACUAAGCGUACACGGUGGAUGCCCUGGCAGUCAGAGGCGAUGAAGGACGUGCUAAUCUGCGAUAAGCGUCGGUAAGGUGAUAUGAACCGUUAUAACCGGCGAUUUCCGAAUGGGGAAACCCAGUGUGAUUCGUCACACUAUCAUUAACUGAAUCCAUAGGUUAAUGAGGCGAACCGGGGGAACUGAAACAUCUAAGUACCCCGAGGAAAAGAAAUCAACCGAGAUUCCCCCAGUAGCGGCGAGCGAACGGGGAGCAGCCCAGAGCCUGAAUCAGUGUGUGUGUUAGUGGAAGCGUCUGGAAAGGCGCGCGAUACAGGGUGACAGCCCCGUACACAAAAAUGCACAUACUGUGAGCUCGAUGAGUAGGGCGGGACACGUGGUAUCCUGUCUGAAUAUGGGGGGACCAUCCUCCAAGGCUAAAUACUCCUGACUGACCGAUAGUGAACCAGUACCGUGAGGGAAAGGCGAAAAGAACCCCGGCGAGGGGAGUGAAAAAGAACCUGAAACCGUGUACGUACAAGCAGUGGGAGCACAGAGCAAUCUGUGUGACUGCGUACCUUUUGUAUAAUGGGUCAGCGACUUAUAUUCUGUAGCAAGGUUAACCGAAUAGGGGAGCCGAAGGGAAACCGAGUCUUAACCGGGCGUUAAGUUGCAGGGUAUAGACCCGAAACCCGGUGAUCUAGCCAUGGGCAGGUUGAAGGUUGGGUAACACUAACUGGAGGACCGAACCGACUAAUGUUGAAAAAUUAGCGGAUGACUUGUGGCUGGGGGUGAAAGGCCAAUCAAACCGGGAGAUAGCUGGUUCUCCCCGAAAGCUAUUUAGGUAGCGCCUCGUGAAUUCAUCUCCGGGGGUAGAGCACUGUUUCGGCAAGGGGGUCAUCCCGACUUACCAACCCGAUGCAAACUGCGAAUACCGGAGAAUGUUAUCACGGGAGACACACGGCGGGUGCUAACGUCCGUCGUGAAGAGGGAAACAACCCAGACCGCCAGCUAAGGUCCCAAAGUCAUGGUUAAGUGGGAAACGAUGUGGGAAGGCCCAGACAGCCAGGAUGUUGGCUUAGAAGCAGCCAUCAUUUAAAGAAAGCGUAAUAGCUCACUGGUCGAGUCGGCCUGCGCGGAAGAUGUAACGGGGCUAAACCAUGCACCGAAGCUGCGGCAGCGACACUGUGUGUUGUUGGGUAGGGGAGCGUUCUGUAAGCCUGUGAAGGUGUGCUGUGAGGCAUGCUGGAGGUAUCAGAAGUGCGAAUGCUGACAUAAGUAACGAUAAAGCGGGUGAAAAGCCCGCUCGCCGGAAGACCAAGGGUUCCUGUCCAACGUUAAUCGGGGCAGGGUGAGUCGACCCCUAAGGCGAGGCCGAAAGGCGUAGUCGAUGGGAAACAGGUUAAUAUUCCUGUACUUGGUGUUACUGCGAAGGGGGACGGAGAAGGCUAUGUUGGCCGGGCGACGGUUGUCCCGGUUUAAGCGUGUAGGCUGGUUUUCCAGGCAAAUCCGGAAAAUCAAGGCUGAGGCGUGAUGACGAGGCACUACGGUGCUGAAGCAACAAAUGCCCUGCUUCCAGGAAAAGCCUCUAAGCAUCAGGUAACAUCAAAUCGUACCCCAAACCGACACAGGUGGUCAGGUAGAGAAUACCAAGGCGCUUGAGAGAACUCGGGUGAAGGAACUAGGCAAAAUGGUGCCGUAACUUCGGGAGAAGGCACGCUGAUAUGUAGGUGAAGUCCCUCGCGGAUGGAGCUGAAAUCAGUCGAAGAUACCAGCUGGCUGCAACUGUUUAUUAAAAACACAGCACUGUGCAAACACGAAAGUGGACGUAUACGGUGUGACGCCUGCCCGGUGCCGGAAGGUUAAUUGAUGGGGUCAGCGCAAGCGAAGCUCUUGAUCGAAGCCCCGGUAAACGGCGGCCGUAACUAUAACGGUCCUAAGGUAGCGAAAUUCCUUGUCGGGUAAGUUCCGACCUGCACGAAUGGCGUAAUGAUGGCCAGGCUGUCUCCACCCGAGACUCAGUGAAAUUGAACUCGCUGUGAAGAUGCAGUGUACCCGCGGCAAGACGGAAAGACCCCGUGAACCUUUACUAUAGCUUGACACUGAACAUUGAGCCUUGAUGUGUAGGAUAGGUGGGAGGCUUUGAAGUGUGGACGCCAGUCUGCAUGGAGCCGACCUUGAAAUACCACCCUUUAAUGUUUGAUGUUCUAACGUGGACCCGUGAUCCGGGUUGCGGACAGUGUCUGGUGGGUAGUUUGACUGGGGCGGUCUCCUCCUAAAGAGUAACGGAGGAGCACGAAGGUUGGCUAAUCCUGGUCGGACAUCAGGAGGUUAGUGCAAUGGCAUAAGCCAGCUUGACUGCGAGCGUGACGGCGCGAGCAGGUGCGAAAGCAGGUCAUAGUGAUCCGGUGGUUCUGAAUGGAAGGGCCAUCGCUCAACGGAUAAAAGGUACUCCGGGGAUAACAGGCUGAUACCGCCCAAGAGUUCAUAUCGACGGCGGUGUUUGGCACCUCGAUGUCGGCUCAUCACAUCCUGGGGCUGAAGUAGGUCCCAAGGGUAUGGCUGUUCGCCAUUUAAAGUGGUACGCGAGCUGGGUUUAGAACGUCGUGAGACAGUUCGGUCCCUAUCUGCCGUGGGCGCUGGAGAACUGAGGGGGGCUGCUCCUAGUACGAGAGGACCGGAGUGGACGCAUCACUGGUGUUCGGGUUGUCAUGCCAAUGGCACUGCCCGGUAGCUAAAUGCGGAAGAGAUAAGUGCUGAAAGCAUCUAAGCACGAAACUUGCCCCGAGAUGAGUUCUCCCUGACCCUUUAAGGGUCCUGAAGGAACGUUGAAGACGACGACGUUGAUAGGCCGGGUGUGUAAGCGCAGCGAUGCGUUGAGCUAACCGGUACUAAUGAACCGUGAGGCUUAACCUUACAACGCCGAAGGUGUUU
rnacentral:rRNA from 1 species